ACCAGAGACCUACGUCUCUGUUUAAACAUAACAAAAAAGUGUUUAAUAAUAACAAUACAUUAAAAAUAUUGUGGAAAUUUACUGCUACACAAUUAACGUAUUUAACGGGUACCUGCAAAUAUAACGUUUAAAUAUAGUGCGUUGCUGCAAUAUUCGGAACAUCAUCGUGAAAACAAGCAAUCGCGUUUGAUCAUAAUAUGGAUAUUAAAUACUUGGGUAAAAUAAAUGUUAAGAUUUAUGGUAUAAUAAAAUGCCAGAAUUUUAUCGCUCAUUAUCACUACAAAAGAGUUUUCAAUAUACAUGUACAUUCAAAGACAGUUCAAUUCGCAAAAUAUGCAUGUGUUUGUUUCCAUUUGAAUGCUAAAAUUUAUUAAUAUUUUCCUUAAAUGAAAACGAAACGAAAAUUCAUUCAAUGUAAAAGAAAGUUACAAUUUCAUUUGAAGAUUGUAAUGUAUUGCGCUAUUUUAGGGCUUUAUUUUAUAACUGAUUCAAUGCACCUCUUACACUAAAUUUCGAUCGCUAAUGAAAAAUAACACUAUCGCAUCCACACCACUUAUAAUUAUAAUAAAACUAUUAUAGGUUUUAUUAUUUUUGAAAUAUCUUUUAUUUAAGUCUAAUUCUAAAAAAGAAUACGGGUAUUUAUAGUUUUGUAUUAUGAAAUUGUCGGUAUUUAGUCUUCCGACGACCUUUCCUCUAAUACAAUGAUACAGUAUUGUUAUUCGCGAUUUCCUCCAUCAAAAUCGCAAUCAAUUUUCUGGGAGCCGCCAUCUCGAAACGUUCGCGCCGAACUUAUCGUUCAAUAAGACAAAAUCGGAAACGAACGAUCAUUGGCGAACGUUCGCUGUAACUGAACGCACUACAGGGCUCAAGAAGCGCGACCCUUGCAGAGUCGCAAACUGCCGCCGGAACUAGCAGACGCCAGAAGAAUCUGCACGAAAAAACGCGGAGACCGGCUUCACCGGAAACGUCGGCAAUAUCAAGGGAGCGAAUCUCGUCGUGGAAUCGUGACUCCGAGCAUUUUGCUAUUCCACGGAGCCCGGAAGAAAACGACACCGGAAGCGAGAAGAGCGCCUACGGAGACACCAGCCUUGACUUGGCAACAUUGCAGGCGUAUUUGAAUUGGAUAUAAUUUUUGAAUGUAUGUUUGUUUGUUUCUAUGUAAUAAAGAAUUGUGUUUA